AGUGCGUAAAAUUGUGGCAAAGGGAACUUAUUUGCGACGAUAGUUAGCUGCAACAGAUACUUUUUAUCCUAUCAAUGUACAUCCAUCAUCGAUUUCUUCACUCCCCGAGGUAUUUAAUUUUUCUUGCGGCAGGAUGUAGUUGCCGCUAAAACCGCUGAAGUUUUUGAUGGUCAAUAGAUAAUUUAUUACGGCGAUAUAUAUAUAUAUAUAUAUUGCCAUUAUAUGUUGGGUAUCUAUGUAAUUUGCAACCAAAACGAUUGUGUAGAAGUAUUGAUCUCAAUUUUAGCAACUCUGAUUCUGUCUUCCCAAAUCGCGUUACUCUAUCUCAUCUCUUCUCUGCGUAAUUGGCGCUGCCGCUCCUGCUCCUAAACUCUCUUGCCACGUCGUAGCCUCAUCAGCACUGUUAGCCUUCUUGCUCUUUCUCUCUCCUUCUCUAUAAGUCUUACUCUAGCCUCCGUCCCUCUGUUUUGUUUGAACUCCCCCAUCGUCUGCCAGCCGUACCCAGCCCAUUGCAGUGCAUAACCUCCGCGAUUCAAGAACUCAGUGUAGAAAAUAUUGAGGCCAUCUUUGAUGACAUAAAUGCACUCGCCUGUGGGCCAGACCCAUGGGUUGCUUCAUAUGACGCUUGCAUAAUGAGUGGCACCAGAUUCCACACCGUGGCUCAUGGACAAUAUCGCCGAACCCAAAAUAGUGGGUUGGUUGUUAAAGGGGAGCACCAAUCAAAGCCUAUUGAUUUUUACGGUGUUUUGCUUGACAUCUUGCAAUUACGCUACAUGGGUUGGCAUCAUGUAUAUUUGUUUAGAUGUGACUGGUUCGAUGUUGGUGAUAGGAGGAGAGGAAUAUGUGUUGGCCACCACAUUACAAGUGUCAACACUUCUCGCAAAUGGUAUAAGGAUGAGCCAUUCACCCUUGCCUCUCAAGCAACCCAAGUGUUUUACCUUAAAGAUAACAGUUUGGGUGGUAGUUGGUCUGUUGUUCAAAAUGUGAUCAGUAGGAACAUGUAUGAUGUUCCAACUAUACCAUAGGUCAAUGAUAAUGACGAUGAAAAGCAGAAUAUGGAUGUACCUACUUUCCAAGAGAACGAAGCUGGCUACGUUCAAGUAGAACCCGUGGCUAGUACGUCUGGCGUCACGCUUCUUUUGCAUGGAUCUGACGUUGAACCAAUCCAUCUUGGUGUUGAUACAAGUUUGAAUGAGCCACUAUCCCUUUUUGAUGAUGAAACACAUAUUCAGCCCUACUCUGUUUUAUAGAUGCUUAUUUUUUAUUUAUUAAUUAACGAAACAUCUCAUGCAAUUUCUAGGUUAAUGAGGCUAACUAUGACCUUCAAAUAGCUACUGUGGCCACCUGGUAUCUCUCAAAAUUUACAGCUGAUUACGUGAUGGAUCAGCUCACAAUAUUGCAAGAAUCCAUCCAUUAAGAAGCCCCUAAGAAAUGAUGAAGCACCAGAUACAACAGGUGCCAAAAAUAUGAAGGCCUUUCAAAUAAAAUGGUGCAGACCAGCUGAGACACUAAGACUUGCUCAAUAGAUAAGCGUAAUUGAAGUUGGAACGUUGGAGUUAUUUCCCAUGAUUUGCCUUUGAUGGCCUUCCGUGUAUCAAAGUUAGAUUCUGUUAUGUAUGAAGCAAUUGUUUUGUAUUGACUUCCAGUUUUGUAUAUGUAUUUCCAAAAGUUGGUUUUGUGCUAUGUAUGCUCUGGUAUGUUAACGAGACAAUGGGAAAAAAUUA